GACGUAGGUGGCGAACGUUGUUCGGAAUCACUGGGCGUAAAGCGCUCGCAGGCGGGUGCGGAAGUCGGGGGUGAAAGGCCGGGGCUCAACCCCGGAUCGUUCUCUCGAUACUCCGUGCCUAGGGACCGGUAGAGGCCAGUAGAAUUCCCGGAGUAGCGGUGGAAUGCGUAGAUAUCGGGAAGAACACCAGAGGCGAAGGCGACUGGCUGGGCCGGAUCCGACGCUGAGGCGCGAAAGCGUGGGGAGCAAACAGG
rnacentral:misc_RNA from 1 species